rnacentral:lncRNA from 1 species
CAUUAACUGUAUAGGAAAUAUGUGCUCUUCUAUUCUGUAAAGGCCAAUUUUAGAAAGCAGUACCUGUACUGACCUAAUGCUUUCUCCCCUUUAAGGAAAUCAUACUGUUAAAGUGAUAUGAUUCACCAAAUGCCAUAAUCCAAAUAAAAUGAAGUUGUAUGAGACAGAGAGAAUGAAAACAACUCAGCAGUGACUUCAUGCCAAAUAAACAGUGUAUCUGACUUGGAUUCGGGGCAGAAGCUUGCACUGGCAGCUUUUGCAGAACAGCUACUCUUGGCUACAGCUCUUCCCUCGUGCCCCAACAAUGACAAAAAAAGACCUCCUGCUGGCAGCAGGGUACUGAACGCUGGCCGCUGUUGCACGCUUCAUACAAUUCUCCUUGUUAUUCUGCAGACUCUUCUGCUGUCUACCCCAGAUUGACAGUGGUCUAUGGAGUACAAGUUGAGAAACACUGGUUUUAAAGUGUGCUGCUUUACUAAAGGGAUGACCAAUAGAAAAGUGAUAUGCACCCAAGAUUUGCAGUGAUGUGAUUUCUGUUCCUCUUCUCAGAACCAACUUCUGCUUUUCUCUCUAGCUCUCUGAUGCAGUGAAGCCUGAGCCGCUCAAGCCACGAACAAAUUCCUUUCUGAAAUGGAGUCUGAGGAAUCUUCCAUGUGCAGGUAAGAGAUUUUUUUAGUGCAGUAGUUGCUCAUUUACUGACCUUUGUCACAGGCAGUGCAUGCUAUAAACUAUCUGACACAGACCAGAAUCUUGAUAACACCAAAAGAUGGAGGUUUCUGGCUCAUCUCUUCAGAAAAAAAAAAAAAAUUCUCCUGUAUAGAUAACUGGAUAGUUAGGGAUUCCUGAUAGAGUAACAGAAUAAUCAUGCCAAAAGAUAAGUGAUUAUCCUCAAAGCCAUGCACAGCCUGCAAGUUAUCUUAAGUGCCUCAGAGGGAAUAAAUAAAGCAUUGUUUGCCGCUACA